GCUUAGGGCCAUACCACCCUGAGAACGCCCGAUCUCGUCUGAUCUGGGAAGCUAAGCAGGGUCGGGCCUGGUUAGUACUUGGAUGGGAGACCGCCUGGGUGUCUUAGGGUGUCUUAUAAA
ensembl:rRNA 5S_rRNA 5S ribosomal RNA